CUGGGAGGACACUCGGGUGGGAUUUCGUUUCGCAGGGAGACGGGAGCACCAUCAGAUUUCGCGGCCAUGUUUGUUGUAGGGAAGAGAGUAGCACGAACGGCGAAGACACAGCAGGACCAGCUGAGACACCGUCCAUUUGGUAUUUCCAACCAGGAACCAUCAUGCUGUUGCCCGGCAAUGAAAGUACACAGGAUUUACUGAAGUAAAAGUACCAGAACUAUAAUUACUUUAAGAGAAUUGUAUCUAGUGGAGAUGGAGCUGUUGUUUAAUGAUUUACAAAGUUAGUUGGAUCACAAGGCACGUAAGGUCUGGUCAGUGGUCACAUAUCUGUAUUGGAGUACAAUCUUUUCAACAACUGGUUGUACUGCUGUAGCCUCAUAAACAUCUGAAAUGUGACAAUACCGACACACCAACUGUGCUUGGCUUCUUUUAAAUCUCUUCUUCAAAUCUUUUUGUGUGAAAGCUCCUGGAAAUGUUUGACUUCUUUAAAAAUCUUAUCCAAUUCACAUUCUACACUUCCUCUGUUCCUAGAUGUGUCCCAUGUCUGGUUUUAUUUUAUACAAGACUUUGAAACAUCGUAGUGCAAAAUAAAUUAUUAUUUUUUACUGUG